CGCACAUUGCGCCCUUUGGCAUUCCUUAGGGCAUGCCUGUUCGAGCGUCAUUUUCACCCAUCAAGCCCGGCUUGGUGUUGGGCGCCUGUCCGGCUUCGCCGGACUCGCCUAGAAAGCAUUGGCGGCCCGUCCCGCGGCUUGGAGCGCAGCACAGUCGCGCCUCCACGCCCCGGGCUGGCGACCAGCAAGUGAAUCUUACCACUUUGACCUCGGAUCAGGUAGGGAUACCCGCUGAACUUAA
rnacentral:misc_RNA from 1 species